AACGAACGCUGGCGGCGUGCCUAAUACAUGCAAGUAGAACGCUGAAUGAGGAGCUUGCUCUUCUGGGUGAGUUGCGGACGGGUGAGUAACGCUUAGGUAACCUGCCUGGUAGCGGGGGAGAACUAUUUGAAACGAUAUCUAAUAGCGCAUAACAGUAGAUGUUUCAUGACAUUUACGUAAAAGGUUCAAUUGCUUCUAUACCAGAUGGACCUGCGUUGUAUUAGCUAGUUGGUGGGUUAACGGCUCACCAAGGCGACUAGACAUAACAGACCUGCGAGGGUGCGCUGCAACGCUGGGAUGGAGACACGGCCAAGAACACUAGGGGAGGGAGACGUCGGGAACUCUUGGCAAUGGACGGAAGUGUGACUGAGCAACGACGCGUGAGUGACGAAGGUUUUCGGGCCGUAUAGCUCUGUUGUAAGAGAAGAUUGAGUGUGAGAGUGGCCAGUUCACAUUGUGACGGUACCUUAACAGAAAGCGACGGCUAACUCCGUG
rnacentral:rRNA from 1 species